CCUCGGCCUUAGCGCGCCGGAAGCGGAAGUCAGGCGGUGGUCGGAGUCUGGCUAAAGUGGUCCUGUUACCUUGGAGAGCUGAAGGGGUCCGGAGGUCCUGUGACGGUGUUCUGGGCCGGAGAUCUAAACAAUCUAAACAUUAAACAGUACAGCUGCCUCAAAUCCCUGGGAAUUUCAGAAUGACUGGCACUUCUGAAGCUGUUCCAAAUUUUGAAGAGAUGUUUGCCAGUAGAUUCACAGAAGAUGACAAAGAGUACCAGGAAUACCUGAAACGCCCUCCUGAGUCCCCUCCAAUUGUUGAGGAAUGGAAUAGCAGAGCUGGUGGGAACCAAAGAAAUAGAGGCAAUCGGUUGCAAGAUAACAGACAGUUUAGGGGUAGGGAUAGCAGACGGGGGUGGCCAAGUGACAAUCGAUCCAAUCAGUGGCAUGGACGAUCCUGGGGUAACAAUUACCCGCAGCACAGACAAGAAUCUUACUACCCCCAUCAAUAUGGACACUAUGGUUACAACCAACGGCCUCCCUAUGGCUACUACUGAUAGAAAUGUCAGCAGCUUUUAGUAAAACCAUUUACUCUGUUAACAUGACAAAAAUUUAUGUUGUAUUUUCUGUUGGUCAUAGUUUUACAUCUGAUUGUAGAGAGUGGAUUGAUUUUUUGGAACUUGAGACAUUUUUUAAAUUAGAUCUUACUGGAGAGAUAUGAUGGCUGCUGGAAAUAUCAAUAAAUACUCCCCUAAAAAGGUUGUGGCUUAUAUUGCUUGACUUCUACCUCAGAUUCUUCUUUAUUUCAUGACUUAAUAGUGCUUUGAAUGUUGUGAAUUUUUUCCUUGUUUGACUUUCAGGAGUUCUUUGUUUUACACAGAAAUAAAAAUUUUACAUAGAAAAUGCUUGCUUUUACUUUGUAAGGUAAGGAAGUAUCCCUGUACUCGGAUGUGCUCAUUCCUAAUAUUUUACAGAAGUAGUACAAUCAGCUCCUAAAUGCACAGCUAUGCUUACUUGUGAUAUAUUGUACAUAGUAGUAGUUGAAAGGAAAACAGUUAUAGUAUAUUUCAUUUGGCUUUUGUUAUUAUGUGACUGUGGUACUUUGUAAUUACUCUAUAGGUAUGAAUCAUCUUCACAAUCGUUUUGGUUUCUUUUUAGAGGGAUAUCAAGAAUAAACCUGUAAAAUCAGGAAGGAAUCAUUCUCAGUUUCAAUGUCUUGAUCUAGUGGUAGGUGGGAUUAAGGCACACAGUAAUUUUAUACAAACUCUAAGGUUUUUUGCUAACUUAAACAUACCAGGUCAAAAUUCACGCAUUAUACAAAAGUUUAACUCUGCAAUGUUCCCUUCCUUUUCAAUCAUAUGUAAAUAAUGCUGCAUUUUGUAUUUACUUUUAUGGUAUUUAACGUGGGUUGAUUUUACAAUGUUAUGUUCACCUCCAAAUGUGCACCUUUGCUGCUUCCUCUUCUGUAAAUCCAGUGAUGCUGUAACUUCCUUUCAGAGUGAUCAUUGUAUUUCACAUCAUUUUAAUGGCCAUUAUAAUGGUUUUAUUCAAAUAAAAUACUUGUAAGUAAGUAUUCUCUCUCAAAUUUUGGCAGUUAGCGCAUUCAUUAGAGAUGAGCUUUUUGAUUUUUUAUUACUCUGUUCUCCUAUCUGUUGAAAAAGGUUUAUUUAGUGUAAGAAUAAUAUUAAGAAAGAGUACAAGUUUCGUCAUAGGUCAAAGGUAUUAAAAGGCAACUUCCUGAAUCUGCCUUCUGCUGCCUUCUCUCUUAGCCCUCCACUCUAGGCCCUUGAGGUUGACAUCUCCAGGUACUACUUCUACAUGCUCUGGAUCCAACUCUCCCCUCCACCCCUGCUUCCUUAAGAGCGAUUCUUUCAGUGCCUUCAACUCCCUAAAGGAUCACCAGCCUCUUUGUCUGAAUCAGGUAAAUAAAGCUGCUGUAAUUGCUAAAGGCCAGAGCUUUCUCCUGUGUGUGUGUGUGUUUGUGUGUGUGUUUCUCAUUUUAAAGGUUCCUUCACUAUAUGUUUUGUGUGUAUACAAAAUAAUACUGUAAAAAGUAAAACUAGACAAAUAUGAAUAAUCUG